UACGAAGGGGGCUAGCGUUGCUCGGAAUCACUGGGCGUAAAGCGCGCGCAGGCGGUCUUCCAAGUCAGUGGUGAAAGCCUGGAGCUCAACUCCAGAACUGCCAUUGAAACUGUUAGACUUGAGUACGAGAGAGGAGAGUGGAAUUCCCAGUGUAGAGGUGAAAUUCGUAGAUAUUGGGAAGAACACCGGUGGCGAAGGCGGCUCUCUGGACCGAGACUGACGCUGAGGCGCGAAAGCGUGGGGAGCAAACAGG
rnacentral:rRNA from 1 species